CUUACAGGGUGACACUAGCGUUUACGUGAAAACUUAGUUGCCAAUAUGCAGAUUCAAUGAAGCAUAUUUACUCAUUCAUCACACUUUUUAAAUGCGUCCAUCAAGGUUUUCAACUCUAUUCCACAGUUACGUUAUCCAGAGUGAUGGAAUAUAACCUUCUGUAUUUGUCCUAUUUCUGUAAAUGGUUCAAUAACAAACAGAUUCAACGAAAUAGAACAGCUUGGCCUGAGAACACCAGCAAAGAAACUGGCUGUCAGAUCUUUGCCCUCCCCCAAUUGGUCAAACAGAACAAGCAAACUGGGAUUCUCUCUCAGGAGUGAUAAAGAAGACUUGUCAAUGCAUUAUAUUAAACAGUCAAAUAUUCUUGUUAUAAUAUUGUAAAUCACAUUUUUCAGAUUCUCUGUUUACUCAGGGUCAGUUAUAUCACCCGGUGUUAGGUGUACUUGAAGAAUGUCUCCUGACACAAUGGACUCUACUACAUGUGGAGAGAGAAGUGCAGGUGCUUCUCCACCUUGCACAAUUAUUGUAGACAACACCCUGCCAAUGGUUCGACAUAUUCCAUUUUGCAAGUGUAGGAUGUUAAAUCUCAGUGUGCAUCCAUUUGGUGUAGCUGUAGAUAACACACAUAAAAUGUAUAUUCUGUACAGACCACAACUGAUAUCUUGAGAUCGUCAAAAUUGUAAUUUUUUAAAAAACUGUUUCAGACACACAGAACAUAACAGAUUUUUCUCACAUUUGAACACACAAACUGAGCUCCAACCUGCUGCUGACCUUCUACCAUUCAUCCAUUGAGAGCCUGCUGACAUACUGCAGCUGCACUAAGGCUGCCCUCUCCCCUCCCUGAUGGACAUUUAUUCCUCCCGCUGCCUCAACAGAACAACAAACAUCAUCAAAGACAGUUCCCACCCUGGUUUUAACUUAUCCAACCCGCUUCCCUCAGGAAAGCGCUACAGGUGCAUCAGCACAAAGACCGACAGACGAAAGAACAGUUUCUUCCCAAAAGCCAUAACCACCCUUAACUCACACAUGCACUGAUCAGCACAGUCCCCCCCACUGCACUACAUCUGACCCAAGUGCACAGAGUUACAAGAGAAAAUUAUGCUGUGAUUGUGCAUUUUAACUUAGUCAAAAAUACCUUUGUAAUUGUUUAACUUAAAGAAAUGAUGCAAGUUAAGACGCAAAUAAGAUAUUUAAUAAUCAAAGGUUAUU